UGCGGCACAUUAGCUAGUAGGUGAGGUAAGAGCUCACCUAGGCGACGAUGUGUAGCCGGUCUGAGAGGAUGAACGGCCACAAUGGAACUGAGACACGGUCCAUACUCCUACGGGAGGCAGCAGUGGGGAAUAUUGCACAAUGGGGGAAACCCUGAUGCAGCAACGCCGCGUGAGUGAAGAAGGUUUUCGGAUUGUAAAGCUCUGUUAGCAGGGAAGAGGAAGGACGGUACCUGCAGAGGAAGCCACGGCUAACUACGUGCCAGCAGCCGCGGUAAUACGUAGGUGGCAAGCGUUGUUCGGAAUAACUGGGCGUAAAGGAUGCGUAGGCGGUUGAGUAAGUUAUGUGUUAAAUAUAUAGGCUUAACCUGUAGAAAGCACAUAAAACUGUUUAACUAGAGUGCAGGAGAGGUAAGUGGAAUUCCUAGUGUAGCGGUGAAAUGCGUAGAGAUUAGGAAGAACACCAGUGGCGAAGGCGACUUACUGGACUGUAACUGACGCUGAGGCAUGAGAGCAUGGGGAGCAAACAGGAUUAGAUACCCUGGUAGUCCAUGCUGUAAACGAUGGGUACUAGGUGUGGGUUGUGAAUAACA
rnacentral:rRNA from 1 species